rnacentral:rRNA from 1 species
UCCAGACUCCUACGGGAGGCAGCAGUGAGGAAUAUUGGUCAAUGGCCGGAAGGCUGAACCAGCCAAGUCGCGUGAGGGACGACUGCCCUAUGGGUUGUAAACCUCUUUUAUAAGGGAAGAAUAAAUGCUACGUGUAGCAUGAUGCCUGUACCUUAUGAAUAAGCAUCGGCUAACUCCGUGCCAGCAGCCGCGGUAAUACGGAGGAUGCGAGCGUUAUCCGGAUUUAUUGGGUUUAAAGGGUGCGUAGGCGGGUCUUUAAGUAGGGGUUCAAUUGGGGGGGCCCGCCCCCUCCCCGCCAUUGAAACUGGCGCUCUUGAGUGGAAGAGAAGUAUGCGGAAUGCGUGGUGUAGCGGUGAAAUGCAUAGAUAUCACGCAGAACCCCGAUUGCGAAGGCAGCAUGCCGGCUUCCGACUGACGCUGAAGCACGAAAGCGUGGGGAUCGAACAGGAUUAGAUACCCCAGUAC